AACGAACGCUGGCGGCAGGCCUAACACAUGCAAGUCGAGCGAGAUCUUCGGGUCUAGCGGCGGACGGGUGAGUAACGCGUGGGAAUAUGCCUCUUGGUACGGAAUAGCCUCGGGAAACUGGGAGUAAUACCGUAUGUGCCCUUUGGGGGAAAGAUUUAUCGCCACGGGAUUAGCCCGCGUUGGAUUAGGUAGUUGGGGGGGUAAUGGCCUACCAAGCCGACGAUCCAUAGCUGGUUUGAGAGGAUGAUCAGCCACACUGGGACUGAGACACGGCCCAGACUCCUACGGGAGGCAGCAGUGGGUAAUCUUAGACAAUGGGGGCAACCCUGAUCUAGCCAUGCCGCGUGAGUGAUGAAGGCCUUAGGGUUGUAAAGCUCUUGCAGCUGGGAAGAUAAUGACGGUACCAGCAGAAGAAGCCCCGGCUAACUCCGUG
rnacentral:rRNA from 1 species